rnacentral:lncRNA from 1 species
AGAAGGAAAUACAAAAAAAUUAAGACUGCUGAUAACAAAACACUGAUGAAUAUGAAGGCUAAAGAAUACAGACAACUCCUUAACAAGAGUUAUAAAAAAUACCAAGAACAUUGUGCAAACGAGCUUCGAUCAUUAUCAAAAACAAACACAAAAGCAUUUUGGAAUACACUUCACAAAUUUUCAAGUAAAAGAAAAGAUAACCCACA